CCUCACUAUAUAUAUUUCCUAUUUCAUUAAUGUCUACUUUUACCUUUAUUAUAUUUCUUCCCUUUUUGGCUUAUUCUGAUAUUUUUUUGGCUGAGGGGGGAUGGGAAUUUUUCAGUUGCCUCUUAGGCUUAUUACAUUUUAGAUUUUCUUCUUUCCUAAUACAAACAUCUAGAACUAUAAAUUGUUCUCUAAGUAUCAUGUUAGCUGCACCUGACAAAUGUUGAUGCGUAACUUUCAGUUACAGUUUAGCUCCAAUAUUUUCUAAUCUCCAUUGUGAUUUUGUUUUUAAUACAUUAACAGAUUUAAAGUGUUUUAUGUAAGUUUCCAAAGUGUGAGCCCAGGAGGCAGAGCUUGCAGUGAGCCCAGAUCGCGCCACUGCACUCCAGCCUGGGCGACAGAGUGAGACUCCAUUUCAAAAACAAAACAAACAAAAAAACAAACAACAAAAAAAAAUUAGAUAUUACUAUCAAUCAAGUGAAGUCACUUUCCUUUGGCUUGAAAUAAAUCCUUUAGAAUUUCCUUUAGUCAGAGAUUUGUUGUUGUUGUUUUAUGAUAAACUCUUUAUGUUUCUAUUUAUAUAAAAAUGUCUUUAUUUUGGGCUCCUUCUUAUAAGAUAUUUUAAUCC
rnacentral:lncRNA from 1 species